rnacentral:rRNA from 1 species
UAUGGUUGUGUGCCAGCCGCCGCGGUAAUACGUAGGCGGCAAGCGUUGUCCGGAAUUAUUGGGCGUAAAGGGAGCGCAGGCGGGAAACUAAGCGGAUCUUAAAAGUGCGGGGCUCAACCCCGUGAUGGGGUCCGAACUGGUUUUCUUGAGUGCAGGAGAGGAAAGCGGAAUUCCCAGUGUAGCGGUGAAAUGCGUAGAUAUUGGGAAGAACACCAGUGGCGAAGGCGGCUUUCUGGACUGUAACUGACGCUGAGGCUCGAAAGCUAGGGUAGCGAACGGG